rnacentral:rRNA from 1 species
GAUGAACGCUGGCGGCGUGCCUAAUACAUGCAAGUCGAGCGAACGGACGAGAAGCUUGCUUCUCUGAUGUUAGCGGCGGACGGGUGAGUAACACGUGGAUAACCUACCUAUAAGACUGGGAUAACUUCGGGAAACCGUAGCUAAUACCGGAUAAUAUUUUGAACCGCAUGGUUCAAAAGUGAAAGACGGUCUUGCUGUCACUUAUAGAUGGAUCCGCGCUGCAUUAGCUAGUUGGUAAGGUAACGGCUUACCAAGGCAACGAUGCAUAGCCGACCUGAGAGGGUGAUCGGGCAAACUGGAACUGAGACACGGUCCAGAAUCCUACGGGAGGCAGCAGUAGGGAAUCUUCCGCAAUGGGCGGAAGCCUGACGGAGGAACGGCGCGGGAGUGAUGAAGGUCUUCGGAUCGUAAAACUCUGUUAUUAGGGAAGAACAUAUGUGUAAGUAACUGGGCAUAUCUUGACGGUACCUAAUCAGAAAGCCACGGCUAACUACGUG